rnacentral:rRNA from 1 species
UACGGAGGAUGCAAGCGUUAUCCGGAAUUAUUGGGCGUAAAGGGUCCGCAGGUGGCAGUGUAAGUCUGCUGUCAAAGAAUGAGGCUUAACCUUAUCAAGGCAGUGGAAACUACACAGCUAGAGUACGGUCGGGGUAGAAGGAAUUCCUGGUGUAGCGGUGAAAUGCGUAGAGAUCAGGAAGAGCACCGGUGGCGAAAGCGUUCUGCUAGACCUGUACUGACACUGAGGGACGAAAGCUAGGGGAGCGAAUGGG